AAAAAAUUAUAUGAAAGCAUUAAAAGAAGGUUUUCGUAUAUAUAUAAUAUAAAUUUAUAUAAAUAUAUAUAUUCAUUUCAUGCUAAAAAUAAUAUAACUUUUUACUGCAAUUUUGUUAAUUCUAUUAAUGAUGAAUUAGAUGGUUUAAAUGUUUAUGUUUUUAGUAAAACCUUAUAUAUAAGAUAUGAUAAUUUAGCUAUACAAAAAUAUAAUUAUAUUUUUGAAAAUGAACUAGAAAAAAUAUUUACCCCUAAAAAUAUAUAUUGUAAAAAGAUUGUAAGUAAAAAGGAAAAAAGGGCACAGAAAGGAAAAGAAUACGUACUUGAACAUAUCAAAGGAAAUGAUUUAGAUGUUAGUUAUUCUACAAACAAUUUUACUUUUUAUAAUAACAUAACUAACAUAUCAUACAACAUUUUCAACAUCAUAAAUAAACAAGAUAUAAUUUUUCUAAAAAGCAUAAUAAACGGUAUUAACGUUUUAAAUAUAAAUGAAAAUGUAGGUGAAUAUACAAUCAUCACAUCUUUAACUAAUAAAAAUAUACCUAACAUCAAGGAAUCAAGUUCUGACAAUCAUGUUACUAUUAUUUUAUCGGAUUCUGUUAAAAAUGCUAGUUAUGUAGAAAAAAAUAUUUCUGUUAACGACUGUAAAAACGUUACAUCGUUAUAUCGGGAAGACAUCCAAGAGGAAUUGAAUAAUAUGUAUUUGAACAAUUUAAGGUUUGGGUUAGUUAUAUUUAAUAUAAAAAGCAAUAUAGUAUAUAGAAAAAACUCUUAUACUAGUAUAUUCGGUAAAAGACAUGUCAUUACAUUCAAAGGCAUUCAUAAAUAUUUAAGCAUUAUUUCAGAGCUUGUAGAAAAAAAUGGUUUUCUGUUCAUAACAGUUGAGUUGUCAGCAGUAGAGUACGAUAAAUUUUUGAAUAUUGUUAAAUGCGUGUUUGAACAGAAAAAGAAAAAUAUAUUUAUUGUCUAUGAGAAUUCGUGUAGUAUCGAAAAUAAGUAAAAUUAUAUUUUAUGUACAUAUGAGUUUAUGUACAUAUGAUUUUAUGUACAUAUGUAUAUGGUAUAUGUGUGUAUGUGUGCUUGCUUGCAUAUACAUAC
rnacentral:lncRNA from 1 species